rnacentral:rRNA from 1 species
AACGAACGCUGGCGGCAUGCCUAACACAUGCAAGUCGAACGAGACCUUCGGGUCUAGUGGCGCACGGGUGCGUAACGCGUGGGAACCUGCCCUUAGGUUCGGAAUAACUCCCCGAAAGGGGUGCUAAUACCGGAUAAUGUCUUCGGACCAAAGAUUUAUCGCCUUUGGAUGGGCCCGCGUUGGAUUAGCUAGUUGGUAGGGUAAAAGCCUACCAAGGCGACGAUCCAUAGCUGGUCUGAGAGGAUGAUCAGCCACACUGGGACUGAGACACGGCCCAGACUCGUACGGGAGGAAGAAGGGGGGAAUAUUGGACAAGGGGCGAAAGUCUGAUCCAGCAAUGCCGCGUGAGUGAUGAAGGCCUUAGGGGUGUAAAGCUCUUUUCCCCGGGAUGAUAAUGACAGUACCGGGAGAAUAAGCUCCGGCUAACUCCGUG